CGCGUAGGCGGAUCGUUAAGUCAGAGGUGAAAUCCCAGGGCUCAACCCUGGAACUGCCUUUGAUACUGGCGAUCUUGAGUAUGAGAGAGGUAUGUGGAACUCCGAGUGUAGAGGUGAAAUUCGUAGAUAUUCGGAAGAACACCAGUGGCGAAGGCGGCUUUCUGGUCUGUAACUGACGCUGAGGCGCGAAAGCGUGGGGAGCAAACAGGAUUAGAUACCCGUGUA
rnacentral:rRNA from 1 species